AUUGAAGGCGUGAAAUCCGUACACAAAGCCUUCGCACCCAGCUUAUAUCACAAUGCAAAUACAACCAGUAAUCACAAACAACUGCUCUCUUAAAUUAUAAGAGAAUUUAUUUAAACAAAGCAACAUCAAUCCAAAAUCAAUGAACUUAAUCAAACAAAUAACUAUUAUAAACUAAUCUAAGCAACAAACAUUAUCAAGCACACCUUGUGAAUGAGGUGUAAAUGUGUGUGUGUGUGUGUGUGUGUGUGUGUGUGUGUGAGAGAGAGAGAGAGAGAGAGAGAGAGAGAGAGAACAAGAUGGGGGAGGGAGACAAUGCACCAUGUGACUUCGUCACAUGUGGACAAAAUGGUGGACAACAGAGGAAGCUGUGUGGCUGCCUUUUGAAAUAGUUUGAGCUCUCUGAGCUGAGUUCAGUAACUGUUACUUAAACACCAGAAAGCCAGUGGCCGGACUUUGAUUCAACGGCGGGUACACUGGUCUUUCUGAUUGUGAAAGCCGUUGACUGAAGGUAAACUAGCAUAGCAUUACACACAUAGGUGAACACAGCAGUUCAUCACAAUAAAACAAAUGCAGCAGCUUACAACAGAUAAUAAACAGAAUGUGACGUGUCGUCAACAAUGAUGCAUAA